AUUGAACGCUGGCGGCAGGCCUAACACAUGCAAGUCAAGCGGAUGAAGGGAGCUUGCUCCUGGAUUCAGCGGCGGACAGGUGAGUAAUGCCUAGGAAUCUGCCUGGUAGUGGGGGAUAACGUCCGGAAACGGGCGCUAAUACCGCAUACGUCCUGAGGGAGAAAGUGGGGGAUCUUCGGACCUCACGCUAUCAGAUGAGCCUAGGUCGGAUUAGCUAGUUGGUGGGGUAAAGGCCUACCAAGGCGACGAUCCGUAACUGGUCUGAGAGGAUGAUCAGUCACACUGGAACUGAGACACGGUCCAGACUCCUACGGGAGGCAGCAGUGGGGAAUAUUGGACAAAGGGCGAAAGCCUGAUCCAGCCAUGCCGCGUGUGUGAAGAAGGUCUUCGGAUUGUAAAGCACUUUAAGUUGGGAGGAAGGGCAGUAAGUUAAUACCUUGCUGUUUUGACGUUACCAACAGAAUAAGCACCGGCUAACUUCGUG
rnacentral:rRNA from 1 species